GGAGGUGUAGCUCAGGGGUAGAGUGUGUAUUUAGCAUGCACGAGGUCCUGGGUUCAAUCCCCUGUACCUCCA
rnacentral:tRNA from 1 species